GGCUUUGAGAGUGAUCUGGCUGUAACAUCUGUCACUCCAUUGAUGACCAAGGUUGAUCUGGCUGAUCUGGCUGGCUAGGUGAGUAUCUUCUUCCCUCCCUGUUCCAUGCGCAUCCCUCCUGAAGGUGUAUACUUAGAUGAAGAUUACCUUUCCUGAUAGUAGAGAACUACUAUUUAGUCAGGAGAAUACGAGGAGCUGCACUCCCCUGCUAGAAUCUCCAAUCAAGCUCUCAAGUAGUAACUGCUAUAAUUCUUUUUUCCUGCAGUGAGAAAGCAAUUCAAACUUAGUGCUAAAAUCUUCUUAUUAUCCAGAUCCAUA
rnacentral:snRNA from 1 species